AACGAACGCUGGCGGCGUGCCUAACACAUGCAAGUCGAGCGAGAAAGGGGGAGGCAAUCCCCUGAGUACAGCGGCGCACGGGUGAGUAACACGUAGGUGAUCUCCCUCGAGCCCGGAAUAACCUACCGAAAGGUGGGCUAAUACCGGAUAUGACCACGGGAGUUUCGGCUCCUGUGGUGAAAGAUGGCCUCUACCUGUAAGCUAUCACUCAAGGAUGAGCCUGCGUGCCAUUAGCUAGUUGGUGAGGUAAUGGCUCACCAAGGCUAUGAUGGCUAGCUGGUCUGAGAGGAUGGCCAGCCACACUGGGACUGAAACACGGCCCAGACUCCUACGGGAGCAGCAGUGGGGAUAUUGCGCAAGUGGGCGAAAGCCUGACGCAGCGACGCCGCGUGGGUGAUGAAGGCC
rnacentral:rRNA from 1 species